rnacentral:snoRNA from 1 species
ACUUUAAUGAUGAAAGCUUUGAUAGGGACAUCUGAUGUCUAUGAUUGAUUUAUCACUUUUUAUAUAGAACUGAACUU